AUCACGUCCUUCACCCUCUGUACCUUUCUGCCGCCACCGCUCACCCUUGCCACAUAGGACAUUAUGUAUUUUGCGGCAACCGUUUUUCCAGCGCCAGAUUCACCGCUGCGAAGUAAAUAUUUACAACACAUUUGUACAAAUUGACACUUCAAAGUUUAUUCGUCAGAAAUUUGACAAAGAUUUUUCAAGUAAAAUCCACGCUGACGAAAGAAAAUGCCUCUUCUAACGGAGACUCGAGAGUUGACAUGAGAGCGUUAGAUCCACUCAUUAAAAGCAGUCUCUGAGAAGUAAUCUCGUGACUCAUGACAGAUAUCGUCGAAGGAAGAGCCUGACAGGGAAAGAUUUCUGACGUCAUUCGACCACAAGAGAAACUAUAUUACUCACGAUCCAGGAGUCAAAGCGACAUGAGACAAUCCGAGCUGAGCAUUGAAAGUUUACUCCGAGGUAAGGUCGAAUAUGACAGAAAACAUAUUUAUAUUUAGGAUUCGCUGGAAUUUCCGAGAAGCUCGUUGUAAGGAAACGCGACAUUACAUAGAGAUUUAUUACAUUACUCACUUUAAUGUAAUUAAAAAAUUCAACUUUUUUAUUGUUAC